UACGUAGGGGCGAGCGUUGUCCGGAAUGAUUGGGCGUAAAGGGCGCGUAGGCGGCUUGUUAAGUCUGGAGUGGAAGUCCUCUUUUUAAGGGAGGAAUUGCUUUGGAAACUGGCGAGCUUGAGUGCAGGAGAGGUUAUCGGAAUUCCCGGUGUAGCGGUGAAAUGCGUAGAGAUCGGGAGGAAUACCGAAGGCGAAGGCAGUCUUCCAAGCCGUUAUUGACGCUCAACUGCGAAGGUGUGGGUAUCAAACAGGAUUAGAUACCCUGGUAGUCCCUGAGCGGGCU
rnacentral:rRNA from 1 species